rnacentral:rRNA from 1 species
AUGAAUAUCCUAUCAUGGAACUGCAGGGGGGGGGGGGACCACCGGACAGUUCGUGAGGUGUUGGCCCUCUCAAAAGCCAAUAACCCCAAGCUAGUCUUUCUUUGUGAGACUAGGCAAGAAGCAGCUAAAGUGGAGAAGUUCAAGUGGAGAUUAGGCCUAAAAGGCUUUCAUGGUGUUAGCAGUGACGGACGAAGUGGUGGCCUUGCUUUGUUCUGGGAGGAGACACUGUCAGUGACAGUGCUCGAAUCAUGUAACAGAUUUAUUGAUGUUCGAGUUUAUGAUGUGGGUUCUGGUACUACUUGGAGAGGAACCUUUGUCUAUCGGGAACCACGUGUGGAAAAUCGUCAUCGCAUGUGGGAUCAUCUUUGUCGGCCGAGGGCAAUGUCUCAAGAUCCUUGGGUGGUGUGUGGCGAUUUCAAUGAAGCCUUAUGGCAGCAUGAACAUCUCUCAAGAGUGACUAGAUCAGAGUCUCAAAUGGAAUCGUUUAGGGAUUGCUUGGUAACAUGUGAGCUACAGGACCUAGGGUUCUCGGGGAUCCCCUAUACAUACAAUAAUGGCCAGGACGUCCAUCGCAAUGUCCAAGUGCGUCUUGAUAGGGCCUGCGCUGAUGAGGCUCUGCGGGAUCUUUUUCCGGCGGCCCGAGUUGUGCACUUAGCCACCUCCUGCUCGGAUCAUAGACCACUCUUAAUAAACCUCGAGGGGGUGCAGGAGCCGGGACGUAAGCCGACUGUAUCGAGGUAUGAGAUCAUGUGA